AAUUAAUUAAUUAAUUAAUUUUAUAGGGUUUAGAUAUUUAAAAUUUUAAAUUUUGAAGUUUAAAAUUUAGAAAUAAAUAUUAUAAGUUAAAAUUAAAAUUUAGAAUUUAAAUAUAAAAUAUAAAAUAUGAAAUUUAAAAUUUAAAACUUUAAAAUUUGAAAGUAUCAAAAUUUUAAAUUUUGAUAUAAAAAUUUUAAAAUUAUAUAUAUAUAUAUAUUGAAUGUGAAUAUUAAAAUAUUGUUAUCUAGUAGUUUAAGUUUUUGUAAG
rnacentral:lncRNA from 1 species